GAUGAACGCUAGCGGCAGGCCUAACACAUGCAAGUCGAGGGGCAGCACAUAAAAGUACUUGUACUUUUUGGUGGCGACCGGCGCACGGGUGCGUAACGCGUAUGCAACCUACCUUUAACAGGGGGAUAAUCCGGAGAAAUCUGGUCUAAUACCCCGUAAUAAUAUAUAAGGCAUCUUAUAUAUUUGAAAGUUCCGGCGGUUAAAGAUGGGCAUGCGUUGUAUUAGUUAGUUGGUGAGGUAACGGCUCACCAAGGCUACGAUACAUAGGGGGACUGAGAGGUUAACCCCCCACACUGGUACUGAGACACGGACCAGACUCCUACGGGAGGCAGCAGUGAGGAAUAUUGGUCAAUGGACGCAAGUCUGAACCAGCCAUGCCGCGUGCAGGAUGACGGCUCUAUGAGUUGUAAACUGCUUUUGCAGAGGGGUAAACCCGGAUACGUGUAUCCGGCUGAAAGUACUCUGCGAAUAAGGAUCGGCUAACUCCGUGCCAGCAGCCGCCGUAAGAC
rnacentral:rRNA from 1 species